rnacentral:snRNA from 1 species
GUGCUCACUUCGGCAGCACAUAUACUAAAAUUGGAAUGACACAGAGAAGAGUAGCAUGGCCCCUGCACAAGAUGACAUGUAAAUUCAUGAAGCAUUCCAUAUUUUU